rnacentral:rRNA from 1 species
CCUACGGGUGGCAGCAGUGAGGAAUAUUGGUCAAUGGACGAGAGUCUGAACCAGCCAAGUAGCGUGAAGGAUGACUGCCCUAUGGGUUGUAAACUUCUUUUAUAAAGGAAUAAAACGAGGCACGUGUGCCUUUUUGCAUGUACUUUAUGAAUAAGGAUCGGCCAACUCCGUGCCAGCAGCCGCGGUAAUACGGAGGAUCCGUGCGUUAUCCGGAUUUAUUGGGUUUAAAGGGCGCGUAGAUGGGUUGUUAAGUCAGUUGUGAAAGUUUGCGGCUCAACCGUAAGAUUGCAAUUGAUACUGGCAGUCUUGAGUACAGUAGAGGUAGGCGGAAUUCGUGGUGUAGCGGUGAAAUGCUUAGAUAUCACGAAGAACCCCGAUUGCGAAGGCAGCUUACUAGACUGUGACUGACAUUGAUGCUCGAAAGUGUGGGUAUCGAACGGGAUUAGAUACCCCAGUAGUC